AGCGAACGCUGGCGGCAGGCCUAACACAUGCAAGUCGAACGGAUCCUUCGGGAUUAGUGGCGGACGGGUGAGUAACACGUGGGAACGCGCCCUUUGGUUCGGAACAACUCAGGGAAACUUGAGCUAAUACCGGAUGUGCCCUUCGGGGGAAAGAUUUAUCGCCAUUGGAGCGGCCCGCGUCUGAUUAGCUAGUUGGUGCGGUAAAGGCUCACCAAGGCGACGAGCAGUAGCUGGUCUGAGAGGAUGAUCAGCCACAUUGGGACUGAGACACGGCCCAAACUCCUACGGGAGGCAGCAGUGGGGAAUCUUGCGCAAUGGGCGAAAGCCUGACGCAGCCAUGCCGCGUGAAUGAUGAAGGUCUUAGGAUUGUAAAAUUCUUUCACCGGGGACGAUAAUGACGGUACCCGGAGAAGAAGCCCCGGCUAACUUCGUGCCAGCCGCCGCAGUAA
rnacentral:rRNA from 1 species